UUCACCAGGCUGGUGCCAUUGGGGUACAGGACCCAAUCUGGGUCCGGGACUGGCUGGUCUCUUAAGUCAGGUCUGCUGGCAUAAACUUCUUCUAGGGUUUCCUUGCAAUCGUGUGAGGGUCCACCUUCCUCCACAGGAAGGAGAGUGGCCAGAUUCAGGGCCUGACAAGGCUUAAUAUUAACAUGGGGGUUCUCACAUAACAGUCCCUGGUACUGAUAUGUGAGAAGCCCC